AGAGUUUGAUCAUGGCUCAGAUUGAACGCUGGCGGCAUGCCUUACACAUGCAAGUCGAACGGCAGCGCGGGGCAACCUGGCGGCGAGUGGCGAACGGGUGAGUAAUAUAUCGGAACGUGCCCUGGAGUGGGGGAUAACGCAGCGAAAGUUGCGCUAAUACCGCAUACGAUCUAAGGAUGAAAGCAGGGGACCGCAAGGCCUUGUGCUCCUGGAGCGGCCGAUAUCUGAUUAGCUAGUUGGUGGGGUAAAGGCCUACCAAGGCAUCGAUCAGUAGCUGGUCUGAGAGGACGACCAGCCACACUGGAACUGAGACACGGUCCAGACUCCUACGGGAGGCAGCAGUGGGGAAUUUUGGACAAUGGGCGAAAGCCUGAUCCAGCAAUGCCGCGUGAGUGAAGAAGGCCUUCGGGUUGUAAAGCUCUUUUGUCAGGGAAGAAACGGUGUGGGCUAAUAUCCCGCACUAAUGACGGUACCUGAAGAAUAAGCACCGGCUAACUACGUGCCAGCAGCCGCGGUAAUACGUAGGGUGCAAGCGUUAAUCGGAAUUACUGGGCGUAAAGCGUGCGCAGGCGGUUUUGUAAGUUUGUCGUGAAAGCCCCGGGCUCAACCUGGGAAUUGCGAUGAAGACUGCAAGGCUUGAAUCUGGCAGAGGGGGGUAGAAUUCCGCGUAGCAGUGAAAUGCGUAGAGAUGUGGAGGAACACCGAUGGCGAAGGCAGCCCCCUGGGUCAAGAUUGACGCUCAUGCACGAAAGCGUGGGGAGCAAACAGGAUUAGAUACCCUAGUAGUCC
rnacentral:rRNA from 1 species